rnacentral:rRNA from 1 species
UACAGAGGGUGCAAGCGUUAAUCGGAAUUACUGGGCGUAAAGCGUGCGUAGACGGUUGCGUAAGUCAGAUGUGAAAGCCCCGGGCUCAACCUGGGAAUUGCAUUCGAGACUGCAUGGCUAGGAUGCGGAAGAGGGAAGCGGAAUUUCCGGUGUAGCGGUGAAAUGCGUAGAUAUCGGGAGGAACAUCAGUGGCGAAGGCGGCCUUCUGGUCCAGUACUGACACUCAAGUGCGAAAGCGUGGGGAGCAAACAGG